rnacentral:rRNA from 1 species
UGGCGGCAGUAGCGCGGUGGUCCCACCUGACCCCAUGCCGAACUCAGAAGUGAAACGCCGUAGCGCCGAUGGUAGUGUGGGGUCUCCCCAUGGGAGAGUAGGGAACUGCCAGGCA